rnacentral:rRNA from 2 species
CUGGUCUGUAACUGACGCUGAGGCGCGAAGCGUGGGGAGCAAACAGGAUUAGAUACCUGGUAGUCACGCCGUAAACGAUGAGUGCUAAGUGUUAGGGGGUUUCCGCCCCUUAGUGCUGCAGCUAACGCAUUAAGCACUCCGCCUGGGGAGUACGGCCGCAAGGCUGAAACUCAAAGGAAUUGACGGGGGCCCGCACAAGCGGUGGAGCAUGUGGUUUAAUUCGAAGCAACGCGAAGAACCUUACCAGGUCUUGACAUCCCACUGCCCGGUGUAGAGAUACACUUUUCCCUUCGGGGACAGUGGUGACAGGUGGUGCAUGGUUGUCGUCAGCUCGUGUCGUGAGAUGUUGGGUUAAGUCCCGCAACGAGCGCAACCCUUGAUYUUAGUUGCCAGCAUUCAGUUGGGCACUCUAAGGUGACUGCCGGUGACAAACCGGAGGAAGGUGGGGAUGACGUCAAAUCAUCAUGCCCCUUAUGACCUGGGCUACACACGUGCUACAAUGGACGGUACAAAGGGUUGCCAACCCGCGAGGGGGAGCCAAUCCCAGAAAACCGUUCUCAGUUCGGAUUGUAGGCUGCAACUCGCCUGCAUGAAGCCGGAAUCGCUAGUAAUCGUGGAUCAGCAUGCCACGGUGAAUACGUUCCCGGGCCUUGUACACACCGCCCGUCACACCACGAGARUWWGUAACACCCGAAGUCGGUGAGGUAACCC